GUGGUAAAAAAUAUUUUCAGAAAGUUUUAAAGCCUUAAAAUAGGCAAUUUCUUUGGAAAUAUUUUGGAGUAUCCGAAAUGGAGGUAUUCCGUAAACGGCAUGCCUACUGAUGGAUGGCGACUGGAGCUUGUACUUUAAUUCCUCUUCUUGAUGACCAGCAUUGCCAGGAACUUUCCUUAGCAAUCCGGGAACAUUUCGCGCUUGUAGUGGGUCAUUGACUCCUUCUUGUAGAACGAGUUACUAGCUGCCAGAGUUCCGUUUAGCUUCACACCAAACAAUAAAAAGGACAAAACCGACAACAUGAAGACAUCUUCCGUAACAGUAAACGAAACACGCGCCAGGAGCAUCCAACAUCCAACUCGGCGUAUUACCCAGGACGAAAAAUUUCCUCUUACGGGGGCGGUCUACACCAUAUUUAGAUGAAAAAAAAAACAAAAUUCGAAAGGGGACGGUUGCGAAAAAAAUAGACAUCUAGUAGUCUACUAGAUGUUUUGAAAACAUCUAGUACUUCAAGUUGGAGUUUUGAGAAUUUUAUUAAUCUACCUAUUUUAGGGAAUGAUUAUUUCAGAUCCUGUUGGUACGCAAGUAAUCCUCCUCCUCGUCGUCGUCGGCAUCCUCUACCACACUGUACGAGCUCUUACCACCGCCUUCCUUGGCCAAAUGCGUUUCAAAGAACUCCUCCACC